GUUAGUCAGCCACAAAAAAGGUUAUGCAAAUCUGAUAAGCCCUUUUUUAUGUGAGAGAAGAGAAGUAUUAUUCAUUAAAAUUCGGUACCUUCUGCUAACUAAGAUUUAACUGAUGAUGUUUUUCUAACUAUUACAUUUAUUUAUUAUAUUAUUAUAUUUUUGGUAACCAUGUAACGUUCACAAUCGCCAGGUUGCUUCAUUAUAUUCGACGGUUGAUGAAAGAUCAGGGCUUCUUCCAAAUAAGCUGGUACUUGAUGAAACUCUAACUUUGAUUGUUAAUUUUUUAUGGAGGAUGUGAGGUUAAUUAAAAAUUGAACUGCUUGAACUUUGGUUAGCGAAAGAACGUGUAGGAUUCCGUUUAAAAAAGUAUGUACUGAUUGAAGUUUGAAUUUCUCUUUUAGCAUUACUUGGAUAUUGAAUCAGAUAAUCAUCAAUUUGUAAUGUGGAUUCUUUGUCUUAUGUGAAGAAACUAAUGCUGUCCUAUUUAGGGGGUCAUCCCAUGUGAUGGGCUCAAAAAAUCGAUUUUUUUCUCAUAAAUUACUUUCUUAACAUGUUUAGAAUACGGUAGUAAAGUGAUUUUUGAAAAUUCCAAGUCGUUUUAAAGAUACAGCAGGUAGAAGAAAGAGCUGUUCGGAGCGCUGAGCUGGCAGUUGGGGUCCAGGCUUUAUACGUGGCCCCCCUUUUAUACAUGCUUGAACAGAAAUUUCUAUAGUUAUUAAAUAUGGACCAGGCAUCGCCGAUUGAUGAUAAGCUAAUCAGCCGGAAUCGUGGUGGAAGUGCGAACGAGGGGGUGUUCAGAACGCUGUAACUCAAGUUCUACACAAUAUUUUUAGCUUAAAAUUUAUAUUUAUACUGUCGAAAUAUAUGUUAAUAAAUGAUAAUAAACUUAAA